rnacentral:rRNA from 1 species
UACGUAGGGUGCGAGCGUUGUCCGGAAUUAUUGGGCGUAAAGGGCUCGUAGGCGGUUUGUCGCGUCGGGAGUGAAAUCCACUGGCUUAACUGGUGGCUUGCUUUCGAUACGGGCAGACUGGAGGUAUGCAGGGGAGAACGGAAUUCCUGGUGUAGCGGUGAAAUGCGCAGAUAUCAGGAAGAACACCCGUGGCGAAGGCGGCUCUCUGGUACGUGACUGACGCUGAGGAGCGAAAGCGUGGGGAGCGAACAGG